GACUUUGUACUUUAAAAUAAAAGAUCUGAUUUGCAUUCAGAAAAUAAGUUUUUCUAACUUCAAGGUCA
rnacentral:tRNA from 1 species